rnacentral:lncRNA from 1 species
AAAAUAAUAAUUCUUUGAUUUUUUCAACUUCUAUGAAGAAACUAAGAUAUUCCUAGAAGUAUCCUUCGGCCAAACAAUACCGGAGUGUGCUGCCAUGGAAACCGAAUCCGCCUUGAAACAGGAUUAAUGCUAACAUUCCCAGGAUUAAUGCUAACAUUCCAAACAUAACAGUUCCAUAUCCAAAAUAAUCAAAAAAAACAAAAUCAAAUUUCAAAAUAACUAGAACCCAAAAUCUGAACAGAAAUAACAUAAUAAAAACCAAACUUCGCCGAAAUAUAAGUCGAAUACCAACCGGAUAGAGAAUGGCGAAGGCGAGAUCUGCGUCAACCUUUGCUAUCGUCGGAAAUGGUGAGAACCGACCUUGGACACGGCUUGGAAAUUAUAGAAAUGCGGACUUUGAUUUGUUGUUUGGAAGAAUUCUGCAGUAAACUCGAAGCCAAAUAUCAGUAAGUAAAUCAGAAACUUCAGCUUCUGUUGAGUCGAAGUUACCGACACGAUGGCGGUAUCUCGGAUGCGAGGUUAACAAAAGAGGAUAAAACCGGCGAGGAACAAUGAAGGUUGUUUUGUGGGUUUCAGCGGCGGAGUGAAGGUUGUUGAGGAAGGUGAGCGGCGGUAGUGGUGUGGUCGGUCUUUGAGAUGUUGGUGGUGACGCGCGGUAGGUUUAUUUGCUGGUGGUGGGGUUUUGACGGUUGAGUUUGAAGAAGAUGAAGGGCUUCGCGUUUUUUGACGGCGGAAAGGGUUUUGGAUGGGUUGCGAGCGGUGGAUUCGCGAGGGUAGAGAAGCGGUUAAGAUGGGGAAGAUGCUGGUUUACGGUGGCGUCGCGAGGUGGAAUCGUGUGAGGUUGGUGUGUUUGCGAAGAAGAAGACAAAGAGGGUUUUUGAGGGUUUUUAGUGUAGCGAGAGAAAG